GUGUCAGCCGCCGCGGUAAGACGAAGGUGGCUAGCGUUGCUCGGAUUUACUGGGCAUAAAGCGCGCGUAGGUGGUCCUGUAAGCGAGAGAUGAAAGCCCAUGGCUCACCCAUGGAACUGUCCCUCGGACUGCAGGGCUGGAGGGCGGGAGGGGAGAAUGGAAUUCCCGGUGUAGCGGUGAAAUGCGUAGAUAUCGGGAGGAACGCCGGUGGCGAAAGCGAUUCUCUGGCCCGUUCCUGACACUGAUGCGCGAAAGCUAGGGGAGCAAACAGGAUUAGAAACCCCAGUAGUCC
rnacentral:rRNA from 1 species